rnacentral:rRNA from 16 species
AAGACCCCGUGCACCUUGACAAAAGCUUUGCAGUGACAACAUUUAUCAAAUGUGUAGGAUAGGUGGCAGGUGGUGACACACAACGACCAAUUCGGAAAGAACACUCUUUCGUCUAAGGAUGCCUAACCGCCACACCGAUCAUUUGGGGGGGGUGGCGGGACACUUCGAGGUGGGUAGUUUAUCUGGGGUAAAUGCCUCCUAAAGAGUAACGGAGGUGUGCGAAGGUAGGCUCAAGCGUUGAUUCUGCUUGUGAGCGUAAUGGUAUAAGCCUGCCUGACUGUGAGACCGACUGGUCGAACAGAGACGAAAGUCGGCCAUAGUGAUCCGGGAGUCCCGUGUGGAAGGUCUCUCGCUCAACGGUACGCCGGGGAUAACAGGACGAUGACUCCCAAGAGCUCUUAUCGACGGAGUCGUUUGGCACCUUGAUGUCGACUCAUCACAUCCUGGGGUUGAAGAAGGUCCCAAGGGUUCGGUUGUUCGCUGAUGAAAGUGGUAUGUGAAUUGGGUUUAGAACGUCGUGAGACANNNNNNNN